ensembl:snRNA U1 U1 spliceosomal RNA
CACCUUACCUGUCAGGGGAGAUACGGAGCUCCAGAAGGCGGAUCACCCAGGGCGAGGCUCAGCCAUUGCACUUCGGCUGUGCUGACCCCUGCGAAUUCCACAAAUGUGGGAAUCUGGACUGCAUCAUUUCUGGUAGUGGGGGACUGCGUUCACGUUCUAG